rnacentral:rRNA from 1 species
AGAGUUUGAUCAUGGCUCAGGAUGAACGCUAGCGGCAGGCUUAAUACAUGCAAGUCGAGGGGCAGCAGGUCUGUAGCAAUACAGAUGCUGGCGACCGGCAAACGGGUGCGGAACACGUACACAACCUUCCUUUAAGCGGGGAAUAGCCCGGGGAAACCCGGAUUAAUACCCCAUAGUAUGGUGAAAGGGCAUCUUUUUACUAUUAAAGAUUUAUCACUUGAAGAUGGGUGUGCGGCUGAUUAGCUAGUUGGCGGGGUAACGGCCCACCAAGGCAACGAUCAGUAACUGGUGUGAGAGCACGACCAGUCACACGGGCACUGAGACACGGGCCCGACUCCUACGGGAGGCAGCAGUAAGGAAUAUUGGUCAAUGGACGCAAGUCUGAACCAGCCAUGCCGCGUGGAGGAUGAAGGUCCUCUGGAUUGUAAACUUCUUUUAUCUGGGACGAAAAAAGGGAAUUCUUUCCCGACUGACGGUACCAGAUGAAUAAGCACCGGCUAACUCCGUGCCAGCAGCCGCGGUAAUACGGAGGGUGCAAGCGUUAUCCGGAUUCACUGGGUUUAAAGGGUGCGUAGGUGGGUUGGUAAGUCAGUGGUGAAAUCUCCGAGCUUAACUCGGAAACUGUCAUUGAUACUAUCAGUCUUGAAUACCGUGGAGGUCAGCAGAAUAUGUCAUGUAGCGGUGAAAUGCUUAGAUAUGACAUAGAAUACCGAUUGCGAAGGCAGCUGGCUACACGAAUAUUGACACUCAGGCACGAAAGCGUGGGGAUCAAACAGGAUUAGAUACCCUAGUAGUCC